rnacentral:rRNA from 1 species
GACGAACGCUGGCGGUGUGCUUAACACAUGCAAGUCGAGCGAGAACCACAGGAGGGGUAACCCUCUUGUGGGGAAAGCGGCGAGCGGGUGAGUAACACGUGGGCAACCUGCCCCAGACACUGGGAUAAGCCCGGGAAACCGGGUCUAAUACCGGAUACUCUCGACCCACCACAUGGCGGGCCGAGGAAAGCUCCGGCGGUCUGGGAUGGGCCCGCGGCCUAUCAGCUUGUUGGCGGGGUAACGGCCCACCAAGGCGUCGACGGGUAGCUGGCGUGAGAGCGUGGCCAGCCACACUGGGACUGAGACACGGCCCAGACUCCUACGGGAGGCAGCAGUAGGGAAUCUUGCACAAUGGAGGAAACUCUGAUGCAGCGACGCCGCGUGAGUGAUGAAGGGCUUCGGUUCGUAAAGCUCUGUUGCAGGGGAAAAAUAAAGUGAUUGUACUCUGCGAGAAAGGGUCGGCUAACUUCGUGCCAGCCGCCGCUGUAAUAC